GGGGGUGUAGCUCAGUGGUAGAGCUCCUGCCUAGCAUGCAGAAGGUCCUGGGUUCCAUCCCCAUCACUGCCA